rnacentral:misc_RNA from 1 species
AACGCACAUUGCGCCCUUUGGUAUUCCAUAGGGCAUGCCUGUUCGAGCGUCGUUUCAAACCUUCAAGCCUAGCUUGGUGUUGGGUGACUGUCCCGCGUGCCCGCGUGGACUCGCCUUAAAAUCAUUGGCAGCGAACAUCGUAGCUAAUUGCGCAGCACAACGCGCCUGAAGCUCUCUGUUUGGCUAUCCACGAGCAAAGUCUCACCAGUUUUGACCUCGGAUCAGGUAGGGAUACCCGCUGAACUUAA